rnacentral:rRNA from 1 species
GACGAACGCUGGCGGCACGCUUAACACAUGCAAGUCGAACGAAGAUGUUUCACCGUAGCUUGCUACACCGAGACAUUUUAGUGGCGGACGGGUGAGUAACACGUGAGCAAUCUGCCUUUCAGAGGGGGAUACCAGUUGGAAACGACUGUUAAUACCGCAUAACAUAUCGAGAUCGCAUGAUAUUGAUAUCAAAGAUUUAUCGCUGAAAGAUGAGCUCGCGUCUGAUUAGAUAGUUGGUGAGGUAACGGCUCACCAAGUCGACGAUCAGUAGCCGGACUGAGAGGUUGGACGGCCACAUUGGGACUGAGACACGGCCCAGACUCCUACGGGAGGCAGCAGUGGGGAAUAUUGCACAAUGGGCGCAAGCCUGAUGCAGCGAUGCCGCGUGAGGGAAGAAGGUUUUCGGAUUGUAAACCUCUGUCCUCUGUGAAGAUAAUGACGGUAGCAGAGGAGGAAGCUCCGGCUAAC